rnacentral:lncRNA from 1 species
GGAGAGGGCUGCCACCCCCCAUGUGGAGCCCACCGUGAGACCAUGAACAGAAUGGGGGUGACUGACAGGGCUCCUCUGCCACCUUGGCUGCUGGGGGCAGUGGUAGAAAUCACCACUGGCUAUUGUGACCUCCAAAGGCACUUGUCACUACACAGUGACACAAAGGUUGGUUUCCGGCUCCUCCCCGUGGCCAGCAUAUCCCUGGGAUCCAAGACAGGUCCGCAUCAUACUGCCAGGGGAUCCUCGGGGUUAGGCACCCAGGAAUGGAUGGGAUGCAGGCAGGGCUGGGACUGGUGGCUGGCUCUAUUGUGCUCUGAUGCUGCAGGAACAGACCAGAUGUCAUCCAGGGGCCCGGAAUUUGGGGGGCGCCGCUGGGUGUGGCAGCAUCAGAAGCCUCAGAUCCGCAUCUCCAUCUGCCACAGGGACAGAUGACCAAACCUUGCAGACAGCAGCGGGAGCUGGAGGGACUUUGUUGAGGACUGGGACCCAGGUGUGGUUGCUGCAAUGCCCUCUGCUUUGGCAGAGAAAAGAUGCAGAUUCCCAGGUCACACCAAGUGACCUCUCCAGAACCUGGAACAGCCUCUGUGUGGACUGCCAUGGGAGAGCUGGAGCCACCACAGAAUCUUGCUCACCCCAGGGAGGUGGCAGCAAUAGGAUCAUCAUGACUUUUCACCUUGACCUUUCACCACAG